rnacentral:rRNA from 1 species
AGAGUUUGAUCCUGGCUCAGAUUGAACGCUGGCGGCAGGCCUAACACAUGCAAGUCGAACGGUAGCACAGAGAGCUUGCUCUCGGGUGACGAGUGGCGGACGGGUGAGUAAUGUCUGGGAAACUGCCUGAUGGAGGGGGAUAACUACUGGAAACGGUAGCUAAUACCGCAUAACGUCGCAAGACCAAAGAGGGGGACCUUCGGGCCUCUUGCCAUCAGAUGUGCCCAGAUGGGAUUAGCUAGUAGGUGGGGUAACGGCUCACCUAGGCGACGAUCCCUAGCUGGUCUGAGAGGAUGACCAGCCACACUGGAACUGAGACACGGUCCAGACUCCUACGGGAGGCAGCAGUGGGGAAUAUUGCACAAUGGGCGCAAGCCUGAUGCAGCCAUGCCGCGUGUAUGAAGAAGGCCUUCGGGUUGUAAAGUACUUUCAGCGGGGAGGAAGGCGAUAAGGUUAAUAACCUUGUCGAUUGACGUUACCCGCAGAAGAAGCACCGGCUAACUCCGUGCCAGCAGCCGCGGUAAU